UACGGGGGGGGCAAGCGUUGUUCGGAAUUACUGGGCGUAAAGGGCUCGUAGGCGGCCGCCUAAGUCAGACGUGAAAUCCCUCGGCUCAACCGGGGAACUGCGUCUGAUACUGGAUGGCUUGAGUUUGGGAGAGGGAUGCGGAAUUCCAGGUGUAGCGGUGAAAUGCGUAGAUAUCUGGAGGAACACCGGUGGCGAAGGCGGCAUCCUGGACCAACACUGACACUGAGGAGCGAAAGCCAGGGGAGCAAACGGG
rnacentral:rRNA from 1 species